GUGACGAUGCGACGCCGCGUGAGCGAAGAAGGCCCUAGGGUUGUAAAGCUCUGUCAGGAGUUAAGAAAUAUAGAGGCGUUAAUAGCGCUUCUAUUUGACGAAGGCUCCAGAGGAAGCCACGGCUAACUCUGUGCCAGCAGCCGCGGUAAUACAGAGGUGGCAAGCGUUGUUCGGAAUUAUUGGGCGUAAAGAGCACGUAGGUGGGUUUGUAAGUCAGAUGUGAAAGCCUUCUGUUCAACGGAAGAAUUGCAUCUGAAACUGCAGAUCUUGAGUGUAGGAGGGGAGAAUGGAACUUCUGGUGGAGCGGUGAAAUGCGUAGAUAUCAGAAGGAACGCCGGCGGCGAAAGCGAUUCUCUGGCCUAUUACUGACACUGAGUGUGCGAAGGCUAGGGGAGCAAACGGGAUUAGAUACCCCGGUAGUCCUAACCGUAAACGAU
rnacentral:rRNA from 1 species